rnacentral:rRNA from 1 species
CCUACGGGUGGCAGCAGUGGGGAAUAUUGGACAAUGGGGGGAACCCUGAUCCAACCAUGCCGCGUGUGUGAAGAAGGCCCUCGGGUUGUAAAGCACUUUCAGUGAGGAAGAACGCCUGGUGGUUAAUACCCAUCAGGAAAGACAUCACUCACAGAAGAAGCACCGGCUAACUCCGUGCCAGCAGCCGCGGUAAUACGGAGGGUGCGAGCGUUAAUCGGAAUUACUGGGCGUAAAGCGCGCGUAGGUGGCUUGAUAAGCCGGUUGUGAAAGCCCCGGGCUCAACCUGGGAACGGCAUCCGGAACUGUCAAGCUAGAGUGCAGGAGAGGAAGGUAGAAUUCCCGGUGUAGCGGUGAAAUGCGUAGAGAUCGGGAGGAAUACCAGUGGCGAAGGCGGCCUUCUGGACUGACACUGACACUGAGGUGCGAAAGCGUGGGUAGCAAACAGGAUUAGAUACCCUGGUAGUC